GAAAUAGAGCUAUAUAGACAUCUAUAUAUUAGAUGGUGUGUAAACAAACUAUAGAUUCAGAUACAUAAAGGCAUCUUUGUUAAUGUUUAGAAAAAUAUUGGGUCAUUUCUAUUCUUAAAAAUACACGUACUGAAAACGUACACAAGAGGUACCUGAUCCCCCAGGGCAAUAUCAUUAAAUGGGAACUGUCUCAUCCUCAGAGAGAGUGGAGAGCAGAGUUGGAAACUUUGUGAGGAUGGGGCCAGUGUACUCAGACAUGCAGAAGAACAUGUGAUAAUUUACUGUCCCACGAGGGAGUGACAGUUCUGCACCAACACAGAACGGAGAACCAAGCCUCAUCCCGCACAUGCGGACAUAAUGGAGACUUCUUUUCUAGUCAAAGGAGAUAGAGGCCCAAGGAAACUGCAUGGCAAGCCCAGACCUUGGAGAAAAGUUAGAUGAGAACAGGAUUCGGAAGCUGGAAUUCCAUAAGGUCAUCUUACGUACCAUCACAAGUCCCAUUCUGGAAGCCAGAAUAGUGCUCUGUGUUUAAGAAACUCCGUGUUCCCUUCCAGCCGUCACCUUGCGCUGAGCUGCACUCAGUUAAAAGGUGUCUCUGGAAUGCAGGCUCUGAGGCAUUAGCUACGGACUGUCAUCUUUGGUGAAAUACAUGCAGAAUGUAUGAUUGGCCUUCUUCCAUUGAAGUUCAAGGCCCCUGCUGAAACAACACUGCCCAGACCAAUUUCAGAGUCCCUUCAAGUUUGCUUUAUAAACUGUCACAUCAAAGAAAAAUAGACAACUCAGCUGAAAAUAAAGUCAAAGCUGGCCUGGAACAUGGAUAUGGACUCGGAAGGUCAAGUUGAUAUUAAGCCAGCAGAUGAGUUUGGUUUCUGGAGCGCAAAGAUAAGGAAACAGAAGCUCUGAGAGGUUAAGUGACUUGUUCAAAAACAAUGAAGCUGGUUGAUCUGCUGGUCCUCUCCACUAGCCAGAAGCAACUGUAAGCCUGAGGGUAAGGAGUAUGGGGAAACAGCUCAUAUAUCUCAUUUUCCUGCCCAGAGCAGAAUGGAGAGAGGUGGACAGUGGAUCAAGCCGUCUUAUUACCAUCAUGAGGCUGCCUCCUUUGAUGCUUUCUAAUGACCCUCUGAACCGUCUGCUCGGCUCACCCUCUGCUUUCAAGUGAAAGCACAGGCCUCUCUGCCCCCUCGCUGCUGACGGAGCGGCCGUGGACGAGACCGGGCCGUGGAGACCAGCAGAGCCUUGUCCAGGGUCAGCAGUGCUACACUUGCUGUGCUUUUCCUCUUGUCCUUUGCUUUCCUUUGAGCAUCUUCAGCAUCAAAGCUUGUCUCCUCUUUCCAAGAUUCCAAAUAAAGCCGAGGCGGUGAAACGAGAGGCUGUGCUCCAAACUCCCACCCAAGGCCACCAUCCGGGUCAAGGGCUUUCUGACUUCAUUCUCUGGGAAGGAAAUUCUCGCCUAUUUGAAACCUCUCCCUUCCAUCCAGAAAUGGGUAUCUUUGAUAAUGGCA